rnacentral:rRNA from 2 species
UUAGUUUGAAUCCUGGCUCAGGAUGAACGCUGGCGGCAUGCCUAAUACAUGCAAGUCGAACGGACGGAAGAGAAAAGCUUGCUUUUUUUGGAAGUCAGUGGCGAACGGGUGAGUAACACGUAGGUAACCUGCCCAUGUGCCCGGGAUAAUUUCUGGAAACGGAAACUAAAACCGGAUAGGUAGGGAUCUCGCAUGAGGACCUUAUUAAAGGGGCUACGGCCCUGAACAUGGAUGGACCUGCGGUGCAUUAGCUGGUUGGUGGGGUAACGGCCUACCAAGGCGAACGAUGCAUAGCCGACCUGAGAGGGCGAACGGCCACAUUGGGACUGAGACACGGCCCAAACUCCUACGGGAGGCAGCAGUAGGGAAUUUUCGUCAAUGGGGGGAACCCUGAACGAGCAAUGCCGCGUGAGUGAAGACGGUUUUCGGACUGUAAAGCUCUGUUGUAAGAGAAAAACGGCCGACAUAGGGAAUGAUGUCGGAGUGAUGGUAUCUUACCAGAAAGUCACGGCUAACUACGUGCCAGCAGCCGCGGUAAUACGUAGGUGGCGAGCGUUAUCCGGAAUGAUUGGGCGUAAAGGGUGCGUAGGCGGUACGGUAAGUCUGUAGUAAAAGGCGGCAGCUCAACUGUCGUAGGCUAUGGAAACUGUCGAACUAGAGUGCAGAAGAGGGCGAUGGAACUCCAUGUGUAGCGGUAAAAUGCGUAGAUAUAUGGAAGAACACCAGUGGCGAAGGCGGUCGCCUGGUCUGUAACUGACGCUGAAGCACGAAAGCGUGGGGAGCAAAUAGGAUUAGAUACCCUAGUAGUCCACGCCGUAAACGAUGAGAACUAAGUGUUGGGGGAAUAACUCAGUGCUGCAGUUAACGCAAUAAGUUCUCCGCCUGGGGAGUAUGCACGCAAGUGUGAAACUCAAAGGAAUUGACGGGGGCCCGCACAAGCGGUGGAGUAUGUGGUUUAAUUCGAAGCAACGCGAAGAACCUUACCAGGCCUUGACAUCCCCGGCGAAGACAUGGAGACAUGUCGGAGGUUAACCGGGAGACAGGUGGUGCAUGGUUGUCGUCAGCUCGUGUCGUGAGAUGUUGGGUUAAGUCCCGCAACGAGCGCAACCCUUGUGAUAUGUUACUAACAGUAAGAUGAGGACUCAUAUCAGACUGCCGGUGACAAACCGGAGGAAGGUGGGGAUGACGUCAAAUCAUCAUGCCCCUUAUGGCCUGGGCUACACACGUACUACAAUGGCGGCUACAAAGAGCGGCGAACCCGCGAGGGGGAGCGAAUCUCAUAAAGGUCGUCUCAGUUCGGAUUGAAGUCUGCAACCCGACUUCAUGAAGUUGGAAUCGCUAGUAAUCGCGAAUCAGCAUGUCGCGGUGAAUACGUUCUCGGGCCUUGUACACACCGCCCGUCAAACCAUGGGAGUUGGUAAUACCCGAAGCCGGUGGCAUAACCGCAAGGAGUGAACCGUCGAAGGUAGGAUCGAUGACUGGGACGAAGUCGUAACAA